GUGGGUAGUUUGACUGGGGCGGUCUCCUCCCAAAGCGUAACGGAGGAGCACGAAGGUUAGCUAAUCCUGGUCGGACAUCAGGAGGUUAGUGCAAUGGCAUAAGCUAGCUUGACUGCGAGCGUGACGGCGCGAGCAGGUGCGAAAGCAGGUCAUAGUGAUCCGGUGGUUCUGAAUGGAAGGGCCAUCGCUCAACGGAUAAAAGGUACUCCGGGGAUAACAGGCUGAUACCGCCCAAGAGUUCAUAUCGACGGCGGUGUUUGGCACCUCGAUGUCGGCUCAUCACAUCCUGGGGCUGAAGUAGGUCCCAAGGGUAUGGCUGUUCGCCAUUUAAAGUGGUACGCGAGCUGGGUUUAGAACGUCGUGAGACAGUUCGGUCCCUAUCUGCCGUGGGCGCUGGAGAAUUGAGGGGGGCUGCUCCUAGUACGAGAGGACCGGAGUGGACGCAUCACUGGUGUUCGGGUUGUCAUGCCAAUGGCACUGCCCGGUAGCUAAAUGCGGAAGAGAUAAGUGCUGAAAG
rnacentral:rRNA from 1 species